GUGUUCCUCACUGCAAGCUUAGAUGGUUGUAGAUGUCACCUCCCUGUGCAGGAUGCAGCGACAGGAAUGGGAUGAAGGGUGUAGGCUGUGCAAUGAAGGAAUAAGCUGCAGUUGAAGGUACCUCAGCUGCUCCCCAUCAGACUUGUGCUCCAGAACCUUUGCAUCUUCAUUGCCCUUCUCUGGACAUGCCAUGGGGCCUUGAUGUCCUUCUGGUAAUGAGGGACCCAAAACAGAACACAGCACUCAAGACUGCGGCAGGAACACCAUGCUCUUCAGAGGAAAGUGUGUGCUGAACUUUUCACCUCUGUGGCUGUGGAAGCUGGUUCAGCUCCCUCUGACACGCUGGGGCAUUCGGAAGGAAGGUGGUCAGGAGUGAGGGAGGUGAGAUGUACAGGAAGAAAUAAAGCGUGGGUGAGUAAGAAAGUCUGUGAUCACCUAGAAAGGGACUUGGACUUCAUGCAGAAGAUGAAAACCAUAGGCAGUAAGAAAAUACACGUGCCCUGGCUGGGGCAUAUCAGGUAGUCCAUGCACAAUGGCAUUAACAUAACAAAAAAUUCAGGGAAGACAAAAAGCAGAGAAGAUGACAGAGAACUGGAGGACAACCAGAGGUAAUGCAACAAAGAAAUCAAUGGGGAGCAGAAAAUUAAGCAAGAGUUUGAGGUGAAAUGGCAAAACCAGAGGGAAAGGUGUCAGAGCCCUUUGCAGGAUGGGAGGAGGAGGCUGGGCACAGACAGUGUCACUGGGGACAGGCAGUGUCAGUCACCUGGCCUGCUACAGGAAUGCCAGAAAUAAGGAAAAGAGCAACAUAGGUCAUUUUCCUCGGGGCUGUGGCAAAGCUGCAAUGAACUGCAGUUGAUGUUAUGGCUGUGCUUCCUUGAGACUUGAUGUGGGCCGCACCUGCAUACCCGCACGGGCAGUGCCAUUCCUGGAGCUAACUCUGUGGGCAGCCCCAGGUCAUCGCCCUGGUGUAACAGUGUGCAGCGCUCCAGCAUCAGAGCCAUUAUCUGAAAGAAGUGCCAGCCAGGAGACAGAGCGCAGGCAAGAUGCCAAGCCCAAGUUGCAUCAGUUAAUGUGUAACUCGUCAUGCGCCAGCUCCUGCCUGCAGCAGCACCGGGCGCUCGGUGGCAGGAAUUGGAGCAGGAUCUGGCAUGGGAGGAGAGUGACGGAGCGCUGCACCCCACAGCAGCUGGCUUAAGGUGUGGUCCUGGUCUGCUCUGGUCUCACUGAACUUUGAUCUGCCUCUUUAUAAUUACGAGCCUGGACCCUAAAGGUGCUGAACUCUCAUGGGAGCUCUCCAAUCAAGAGUAUUAACAAGGAGCAAUCGGCAGGGCAGUAGGAUGAAUGGAGAACAUGGAAGACCUGAAGACUCUUCAGAGAUACCAUCUUUCUCAGAUCAAGAAUAUCAAAGGGUGAAGGAAGGAACAGAACUGGACUCGAAGUCAAGUUUGGUGAAGCUGCACCAUCUCCUUAGCCCUCAGCAAUGAAUUUAUGAUUAUUAUGAAAUUUGUCGAGGACUUCAAUUACAAUCAAACCACAAGGAGGACAAACAGCAAACACAAUAAGCUGCUGGCUGACUUGCUCAGUGCUGGCAAAGCAACAGCCUGGGUGAACGAUAUCUGUUUAUAUGGUGGUUUUGAGAAGAGAAGAGGAAAUGCUAUGUUGUCUUCAAUCAAAGAAGUGUGGCCACGGAAAGAGGAGAGCUGAAACUGGUCAAGAUGCUACACCAUGGCAUAUAGGGACUGGAGCAGCAUGUCACAGAAGAGCCACUCUUAUCUUCUGCUGGUUCCUGGUGUAGAAGACAUUGUGAUGCUUGAUGACUUCUGUGCAGAUCUCAUCACCAUUUCCUGUUAUUUUGCAAAGAUGUUCUUCUAACUGAGAAGUGCUAUACAGUCUCUUCUAGACGAGAUGUCAGACUAGAAUGGACAGUUUCUUAGCAUCUGAAUUGGAGCCCAGUACACUCCUUCAGCCAGAGAUCAUGUAGCAGUGAACUGACAUUCAUUCCAGAUUAUUUCCCCAAGAGAUUGCUGGCAGACAGGCUGCUCUUUGCCGGGCCUGAAGUACUGCAAGCUUUGUUUUCCCAAUAUUCAAGUGAUAAUGGUGCCAAACCAGAGCAGCAAAAGCAGACUGUGAAACUCAGUGAUGCUACUGCCAUCUCCAGCUGUCCUCCUCUCAUGCUCCCCCACAGGCAGCUAGCUUGGAUAGCGGACUCGAGGGAACACAUGUACUGCUGCCGGCGUCUCUCCACACCCACUCUGUGUGAUGACUACAGAAUCAUUUUAAUCAAGAAUGAAGACUACAUAAUUCAAGCAACAGGGUCAAAAGUCUGAUGUCUACAGGGAAAGUGCAUUGGUUUAACUUCAGUCAGAUUUUAAAUCUUGGUUUUAAGGCUUGGCUAAAUAAUUAGGUCAAACCACUGCAACAUUCCCACGUAACUAAGGCCUUAAAAAGGAAUUUUAAAGAUAUGUAUCUCAGUUAAAUACUUUAGCUACAGUCUGAAACAUAUUGAAGUCAAUGAGACAGGAAAGCAAGCUGCCAACAAGAUACACUCUGAAGUGUCUUUCUGAAUCAGUGGCUUCAUUUUCUGCUCUAAGGAAGACACCUCCAUUUCAGCAAAAGUCAUCUUGAGAUCAUGGCAUUUUCUUAGAUCUCUGCCAGUCCAUGAAGCCUACGAGAGGACAGUGCUACAGAGGCUUCAGGAGAGUGCUGCAGGAAGCUGGAGGGAACAGAUUCUCAGCUAUACAUUCCAUUCCAAAGAGACCGUGAUGAAACACGAAGAGGACUGCGGACUGUUCCAGCUGAGAAUAAAGAAAUAAAAAACAGUGCCAUCUUGUGGCCUACAGUAUUCUGAGCAUUGCCAAGAGGAAAGAGGAAAAUCUUUUACACUAAGAAAAAAGUACAGAUAACUUCUGGUCAAACAAGAAAACCAUAACACAAGAACACUAAUGGCAAGACAAAGGACCUGAACAAUACCACACUUUGGCCAGAGUACAGAAAUCAAAGCUCUACAAAAUGUACUGGGAGCAACAGGCACGUUGAUAUCCUUUCCAUGAGCAAUAGGUGGCUUAGAUGAGAAAUGGUAGUGCACACGUAUGAUUAGAUUGCCAAACAAGAUGACAGAAUGUUUUCUUCAGCAUUACAUGGCUAAAAUGACUUUAUCAUUUUGUACUAUACUGCCUUAAGCAAUAACCUGAGCAUCAGAUCUGUGCAGAUAUAUCUAGGCUUAAAGUCUGGAAAUCCUAGCUGAAUCAAAAAGUCUUCACGACUAUUUAUCUCCAGGGUUUAUGUUCUGUAUCAUUUUACUAGUGAUUCCUCUUUCCCAGCUGUGUGUCUUCUGCCUUAUCCAGACAGAACUAGAUCUAGUUACCCCUUUCUGGAAACCUCUGUAAUGUAUUCUUUGUGAUAUCCAAAUUAUAUCAUUGGUGACAUUAAUGGCAAAUGGGACCCAUUAGAAGGCGUCACAAGUGAGUUGUCAGAUGUUGAGGCCAUGACUUCUCCCUAUCUCUCCAGAUGACAGUGAGUAAAUAUUUUGAGGUAAGGGAUUUAGAUAGAAGUCUUUGAUCUUCUUGUGUGCGCUGCAGAAGCUUCUGAACUCAAACAGAGACGGGCAGACAUCGAUCAUGCUAACAGACAGCUGUCACAAGAAGCAAUGCCACUUAUAAUUGGAAGUACAAUCCUUCGAGUGCUGAAAUCUGGCUAAGAAGAUGAAAAUGUUCUUUCUGUCUUCUGCUGAGCUUCAAGGGAAAGGGAAGAGGGAAUUCAACUUGCUGGCAUCAUCCCCAGGCAAUUUUAUUGACUGUGUGGCUGUCAAAGGGGACUGACCGAAAGAUCAGACAUGACCUGAUUGACCGGAUGUAGGUUGUUGUUUUAGUUUUAGUUUCUGUGAAUCCUAUGUGCUUUUGGAGUCACCAGAGAUAAGAUGAGGAAAAAUACACAGGAGGGAAACGACCUACCUUGUUGGAUGUAACAAUCACUCCAGCAGGAAGUUUUGUUGAUGUGAAGUCAGAAACUUUUAACCCCAUUCAGUAAAGCUUUUGGCCUAUGGAAUUUAAUGGAAAUUCUGUGUCACUAGCCAAACAGCUACGAAACCUUUGUGAUAACUUUGGCAAAUGAAGAUACAUUUUCCUCUUCCUGUGAUCAGCAAGGCAGCGGGUAGGCAGCUCUAGUCACUAGAGCAGGCACAAGGCUUUUUACAUUUCUCUGCAGAGGAAGCUUAUUAAUUUACUAUGCCAAAACCAUCGUGGUCAUGCAACAGUAAAACAUCUUUUGCUCUAAGUUUGGUCCUUGAAUGAAUCAUAGGCUCUUGGAGCACUGGAUUUAACAAAUUCUCUUCGUGUUUUUCUGUCAACCUGUAUUUUUUCUGUCAAACUCUGAUUUCCCAUCUCUGCGUCUUUGAAGCUUAUCCCUGAUAAAAGACAGCACUUAUGUCAAAAUAUACUAAUGUCAUUUUGACACAGAAGUGCACAGCCUGGAAGCCAUUUCGCUUGGCAGAAUUAUCUCCUUUGGCAGCCUCACCACAGCUGAGCUGAGCUGCUGGGCACUCAUGUGUGUUUGUCCCCCUCUUUUUGUCAGAGGUAAAUCCUUGGGACUUUCAUCAGCUCACAUGAGAUAAACAGUAAUGCAAAUAAUGCUGAAAAAACUUGCUAGUCUGAGACUGUUUUCUGGGAAACAGUUUCUUGUUAGUUUUGGGGGUUUAAUUCAGCACACUAGGAUAAUUGAGGGAAAUGAGUAACGAUUCCAGACAGUGUUUGCUUCUUCUCCUGCUGCUUCAGAAUGAAGUUUUUAGUGAAUAAAAGUGAUAAAUAGUUUGAAAUUAUUCCUUUCUGAAUAACUGUUAUGCUCAUGAUUCCAUCUUAUCACUUUGAUAAUUACUCUAGAUUGUAGUCACAUAUGAAUACCAGCUUUUUACUUUCAAGGGAAGAAUGAUCUUAGGAACUGGACUUUGGAUCUGAGUUCUCUCUUCUACAUCUGACAGAAGAAGCCAAAAAUCUUUCUACUGUCACCUCUCAGCUGUAGCUCACAGUAGGCAGUACAAUUCAGUACCAUAGGUCUCUGGGCAUAAUGCCCCUUGGUGAAACUGGCCGUUCCAUACCUGGCACUGCCCUGAUCUCCCUCGAUCUCAAGUUAAAGUCAGAAGCACGGAGAGUUCCCUGAUACUCCAAGUGCAAAUAUCUACUGGUGUUCUAGAAACUGUGUGUUUUAACCUGCUUGAUAUCAUAGCAAUGAAUUGUUCAUUAAAAAUAUUGCUUUCUGCUAGCAUUAGACCUAGGAUUAAAGUUGAAUUCAAUUCCUUUUUUGAACUCAGUAUGAACUUCAGACCCAAGAUGAAAUAUCUUAUUGUGUCUGCAUGAAGAUAUGAGGAACGCAAAGAAGCUCAAGGCAAGUGAAGUAAAUUUUGAGCUAUUGAGGUAAAUAGAAAAGCUGCUGUAACUUCACUAGAGUCAGAAUUCCCUAGCAUGUGACAAAGUGGUAUGUUUUAAUUUUGUGCUAAACAAUGACAACCAACAUAUCAGGUCAUCUUUAUGAGAAAGCAGCGUGGCUGAGAAGGCCAUUAAAAUGAAAUCAAGGCUUGAAAUAAUCACUGAAUAACUUUCUAUUGGAAGAUGAAAGUACUAUCACAACUAAGAAAAAAAUACUAACAAUUAGUAAUUUUACAAAGUGUCACAUUGCUCAGAAUUCAGAAUUUAUUAACUCAGAGAAAUUAAGACAACAAACCUGUCACUGCCUCAUGCAUUUGUGGUGGAGUUCCUUAUAAGAAGUCUCCUCUUUUUUGAGUUAAAUCGGUGAACUUUGUUCAGUGCUUCCUGGCACUAGGUGCAUCAUUACAAAUAUUUCUAAAAUGAGGAAGAUCCUUGUCUAGAUGAGAGCUGAAAGCAAAUAGCUGAAACAAGAAAACAGUUGCAACAUCUCAAUACAGCAUUCUUAUUAUGGCAAUUUAUAUUAAAAUGUCACUUAGAGAACCACAAAGGCCUCAUCAUAUUCCCAAACUGUACCCUGUACCUGUCUGUCUGCCUUGCCUUCAUCUGCAUCAAAUAAUGAGUGAUGUUUCACUUGAAAAUCUUUAGAGCAAUGAAUCAAAACAUCUGUAAUAGAAAACAGAAAUAAAGUAUUUCCCACAUGUUAUGAUAAGUUUUUGCAAGGGAGAAAUUGGCUAAGGAGUCUUUCUCUAGCUUUAACUGCUAGAAUGAUUUUGGAAAGUAGGACUGUGUGCUGAGUGGUAGGUACAUAUUUUUGCCUACCAUAGGCAAAUUGAAGAGAUACAGUAUUUAUCAUUUUAUUGACACGUUGACAAAUAACAAAGUCUACAGGGUUUUCUUUCUCCUGAAGACUUUAUACUACAGCCCAAUCAUUUAUGUGUGCCAAUAUACUUUACAACUCUACUGUGAAGUUGGCUGUGAAAAGAGUAUCAAAGUAUUGGGGUUGGUGCAAAGCGGUGAUUUAAAACGAGAGAGAGAGAAUGGAGCUUUCAAAUCUUCUUCAGAUUAUAUCCAUUAAAUCUGAUUGCAAAGAAGAGGUUCAAAGAAAACAGUUUUAAUCAGACUACUGGGGCUGAGAACACCUUUCUUAAAAAAAAAGAAUACAUGGAGUCUUAAUUUUCUUCAAAGGAAGGGUCAAUUAAAAUAAAUACUUUUAAUUCUUUACAGCAACCUUUUUCUGUUGGAUUAACUUCAAUUAAUCCUUCAUCUUCUAAAUUGCAUUGGCACAAAAAUCUAUUGUCUUUAUUUUCAGAGGAACAUUGCAAAACUCUAUCAUGCGUCCUUGUGCAAAGAACUUGAAGGAUCUCAUACACACAGAGUGAGAGCAUCAAAACCAACUUUCAUGAAUUACAUAGUUUUUUUUUACAAGUAUGGUCACUCCUCAGAAUUUUCCAGAGUUACUUUCUCUGUGAUCCUCUCUGAGCCUGGCUCUAUCAGUCCAAUAACCAGUUUACUCAUAGCAGUGAACAAAACACAUAAUCCACUGCUUUCUUUGAAAAAUGAACUCUGGAUGUACAUCACUACUGAACCUCUGUUACGUAUAAAGCAGGCUGUGUAAACAAAAUCCCAGUGAUUAUAUUUCACCCACCGCCUUUCUUAAAAUAAAGAGUACAAUCUUGAACAGUCGGUUCAGAGAGAAACAACAGGGUGAGGAGAGCUAUCUUCCUUCUUCUUCAAUGAGAAUGUUUGCUUUAGUUCAGACUCAGCAGGCCGAAAGACAAGAAAGGUGUUUCUGCCUAGGGAGAGGCCAACAACAAGAAGCGAGAUGAUAUAGCCGUAUGCUUCUGCAGCAGCACAAAGCCUCAUGGUUGAGUGGGAUCUUGCAGGGAAACUUGUAGAAAGUGCACCCAACUCAUUAAACCUGAGAGCGGGGAGGUCUGUUUCUUGUGUUGCACUGGUUGUUACAACAGCUGGCUAAAUUCAACUGCAGUUGUAGUGGACAGCAGCAGUUGGGGGCCUAGCUUGUUGUCUGGUCAUGAGGGACCCCUACUAUAAGCUGUCAUCACUCAUCUAAUGAGCCUGAAACAAGAACAAAGACUCCUUGGCCAUACUUGCUAUCUUUAGAAGAGGUGGCAUGAACCCACAACUACUGUGUGUGGUAAGACCAGUUGUAGCUGAGCUCUGAGUACCGAUGACAGAGGGUCGGGAUCAAUUUGCAUGCUUAAUCCCAGGCUCAAGUGGGCAGGCACUGUGGCUUCCCAGUGCACAGGCACAUGUGCACUUCUUCUGCUUUAAGCUUUAAAAGUACUCGGAACUCUCUGAAGCCCUGGUAUCCAAACCAGAUUAAAGCAUCCAGCAGCUUGAUUUUCAGAAGUCUGUCCUUUGUGUGACCAUUUUUUCUCAUUUUGUUUAUCAAUUGUUCACUUUUAUACUAAGAUAAAACCUAAGACUAAACAAAGAUUGUUUAUAAAUGCCAUGGGUUGACCUCAACUAUGUAUGAUCAACUGAUAAUAAACAUAUUACAGUACCAACAGCUGCAUAAGGAUUUAAGAAUACGAAGUCCUCAGCAAUAAAAACUACUGAAUAACAUCCAUAUUUGUAUC